rnacentral:lncRNA from 10 species
AACCGGAAGCAGGGUACCGGCCCCGACACACACACACCUGAGGACUCCCCACCCCUCGGUUCCUUACCUCCUAUCUACGCCACCCAAAGAAAAAGAGUCGGAUGGACUGGGUGACCCAGGGAGGGAGGGUCUCCUGCCUAGCGAAGAGUCGGGGUCUCGAGUAGGAGCUCACACCUACUUAGGAGGCGACAGCGAGGCCUGCGGAGGAAGCAGUUGAGGGAAGGCAGGUGUGACUCCAGGCUCUGCACUGGUUCUUCUUGGUUCCUCCCACCAGGCCCUUUGUUCCUCAUGUCCCCAUGUUUCUCUCCCUCUGCGUCUUAGCACCUUUCUUCUGUUCAAAGUUUUCUGUAAAUUUUCUCUUUUUUUCUUUCUUUCUUUUUUUUUUUUUUAUAAAUUAAUUUGCUUUCAGUUCCA